GUCUGAUCAGCUCCAGUGAGCCGGUGUUAGGGAGAGGAGCAGGCUAGUGGUUGAUUUUUGCCCUGCUAGAAAUCCUAAGUGUAUACCUGAAGAUGAUCAGAACACAGGAGUGCACACAGCUCCUGAAAUUGGGUAGGGCUUUUGUCCUACCCUGUUGAGGAUCGUGAGAACUAGGGAUGUGCAGAAUGUUCCGAGCUCGGCUCAUGCACGGAGGCCAGGGGAACGCCAGGGACGCACCACCACACAGGAUGCUGACCCAAGCACCACGGCUUGCCGUGCCUACCCAGCGCGUUUCAACUGGUGAGAUUUGGCAUUCAGAAUGAGCCCUGCUUCAGCCCCUUGAGAACCCAUUUUAUCCGAAGCGAGGGAGGGAGUUGGACUAACACAAGAGCUGUGGGCUCAGCAGUCGCUGCUUUCCUUUCCUCUCUCACGAAGGCUAAUAAAGCCCCACUUGU